rnacentral:rRNA from 1 species
CUUUACUGCAGCUUUGCAUUGGACUUUGAACCGGUUUGUGUAGGAUAGGUGGGAGACUGUGAAACCGGGACGCUAGUCUCGGUGGAGUCGUCCUUGAAAUACCACCCUGAUUUGUUUGAGGUUCUAACCUGGGCCAGUGAAUCCUGGCCGGGGACCGUGCAUGGUAGGCAGUUUGACUGGGGCGGUCUCCUCCCAAAAGGUAACGGAGGAGUACGAAGGUACGCUUAGGGCGGUCGGACAUCGCCCAUAAAGUGCAAUGGCAAAAGCGUGCUUGACUGCGAGACCCACAAGUCGAGCAGGUGCGAAAGCAGGUCAUAGUGAUCCGGUGGUUCUGUAUGGAAGGGCCAUCGCUCAACGGAUAAAAGGUA